rnacentral:rRNA from 1 species
AUUGAACGCUGGCGGCAGGCCUAACACAUGCAAGUCGAACGAGUGGCGGACGGGUGAGUAAUGUCUGGGAAACUGCCCGCUCGAGGGGGAUAACUACUGGAAACGGUAGCUAAUACCACAUACCAUCGGAGGUGCCCCGAUGGGAUUAGCUAGUAGGUGGGGUAACGGCUCACCUAGGCGACGGUCCCUAGCUUGUCUGAGAGGAUAACCAGCAAAACUGGAACUGAGACACGGUCCAGAUUCCGACGGGAGGCAGGAGUGGGGAAUAUGGCACAAUGGGAGUGAGACUGAUGCGGCCAUGGGGCGGGUAUGAAGAAGGCCUUCGGGUUGUAAAGGACUUGCAGCGUUGAGGCGUUGCUUGCAGAAGAAGCGUCGGCUAACUCCGUGCCAGCAGCGGCGGUAAUAC